rnacentral:misc_RNA from 1 species
GAUGAAGAACGUAGCGAAACGCGAUAGGUAAUGUGAAUUGCAGAAUUCCGUGAAUCAUCGAGUUUUUGAACGCAUAUUGCGCCCUCUGGUAUUCCGGGGGGCAUGCCUGUUCGAGCGUCAUUAAAUAACCCUCAAGCAUAGCUUGGUGUUGGGCUUUUUUACGUCCUUGACUGGGAUGGGCCUAAAAAUUAGUGGCGAUGGCUUUUUUACUUUCAAGCGUAGUAAAUCUCGUCUUGCUAAAGAGGAAAAAGAUUUUUUUUCUGCCAAAAAUUUUAACAUUUAAAGUUGACCUCGGAUCAGGUAGGAUUACCCGCUGAACUUAAGCAUAUCAAUAAGCGGAGGA